GUCAUUUAGGCUUAGUUGGUAGAGCAUGGUGUUUGCAACGCCAGGGUUGUGGGUUUGAUUCCCACGGGGGACC
rnacentral:tRNA from 1 species